rnacentral:rRNA from 1 species
UACGUAGGGUGCGAGCGUUGUCCGGAAUUACUGGGCGUAAAGCGCACGUAGGCGGAAUGUUAAGUCAGGGGUGAAAUCCCGGGGCUCAACCCCGGAACUGCCUUUGAUACUGGCAUUCUCGAGUCCGGAAGAGGUGAGUGGAAUUCCGAGUGUAGAGGUGAAAUUCGUAGAUAUUCGGAGGAACACCAGUGGCGAAGGCGGCUCACUGGUCCGGUACUGACGCUGAGGUGCGAAAGCGUGGGGAGCAAACAGG